rnacentral:rRNA from 1 species
AGAGUUUGAUCAUGGCUCAGAGCGAACGUUAGCGGCGGGCCUAACACAUGCAAGUCGAGCGAGAAAGGGACUUCGGCCUGAGUAAAGCGGCGGACGGGUGAGUAAUACGUAGGUAAUUUUCCCUUGAGCGAGGGACAACGUUCCGAAAGGGACGCUAAUACCGCAUAAGUUCCUGAAGGUCUCGGCCUUUGGGAGGAAAGUAGGUAGCAAUAUCCGGCACUCGAGGAGAAGCCUGCGUCGCAUCAGCUAGUUGGUGGGGUAAUGGCCUACCAAGGCGAAGACGCGUAGCUGGUCUGAGAGGAUGAUCAGCCACACUGAAACUGAGACACGGUUCAGACUCCUACGGGAGGCAGCAGUGGGGAAUAUUGGACAAUGGGCGCAAGCCUGAUCCAGCCACGCCGCGUGAGUGAUGAAGGCCUUCGGGUCGUAAAGCUCUGUGGGGAGGGACGAACCGCUGGAUGUGCAUAGCAUCCAGCAUGACGGUACCUCCUUAGCAAGCACCGGCUAACUUCGUGCCAGCAGCCGCGGUAAUAC